UGGGGAAUUUUGGACAAUGGGGGAAACCCUGAUCCAGCCAUCCCGCGUGUGCGAUGAAGGCCGUCGGGUUGUAAAGCACUUUUGGCAGGAAAGAAACGUCAUGGGUUAAUACCCCGUGAAACUGACGGUACCUGCAGAAUAAGCACCGGCUAACUACGUGCCAGCAGCCGCGGUAAUACGUAGGGUGCAAGCGUUAAUCGGAAUUACUGGGCGUAAAGCGUGCGCAGGCGGUUCGGAAAGAAAGAUGUGAAAUCCCAGAGCUCAACUUUGGAACUGCAUUUUUAACUACCGGGCUAGAGUGUGUCAGAGGGAGGUGGAAUUCCGCGUGUAGCAGUGAAAUGCGUAGAUAUGCGGAGGAACACCGAUGGCGAAGGCAGCCUCCUGGUAUAACACUGACGCUCAUGCACGAAAGCGUGGGGAGCAAACAGG
rnacentral:rRNA from 1 species